rnacentral:rRNA from 1 species
AUUGAACGCUGGCGGCAGGCCUAACACAUGCAAGUCGAACGGUAACAGGAAACAGCUUGCUGUUUCGCUGACGAGUGGCGGACGGGUGAGUAAUGUCUGGGAAACUGCCUGAUGGAGGGGGAUAACUACUGGAAACGGUAGCUAAUACCGCAUAACGUCGCAAGACCAAAGAGGGGGACCCUCGGGCCUCUUUCCAUCGGAUGUGCCCAGAUGGGAUGAGCUUGUUGGUGGGGUAACGGCUCACCAAGGCGAAGAUCCCUAGCUGGUCUGAGUGGAUGACCAGCCACACCGGAACUGAGACACGGUCCAGACUCCGACGGGAGACAGCAGUGGGGCAUAUUGCACAAUAGGCGCAAGCCUGAUGCAGCCAUGCCGCGUGUAUGAAGAAGGCCUUCGGGUUGUAAAGUACUUUCAGCGGGGAGGAAGGGAGUAAAGUUAAUACCUUUGCUCAUUGACGUUACCCGCAGAAGAAGCACCGGCUAACUCCGUGCCAGCAGCCGCCGUAA